CAAAAGACUAGAGUGGAGAAGAAAGGUGUCGUAAUCGGAAGGAUGCCUAUUAUGCUACGGAGUUGCUCCUGCACCCUGUAUGGGAAAACCGAAUCUGAACUUGCCAAACUUGGUGAGUGCCCCCUCGACCCUGGAGGAUACUUCAUAAUCAAGGGAAAUGAGAAGGU